GGGGCUCGGGGCCCCAUUUGGGGUUUGGGGUCAAUUUGGGGUCAGGUUUGGGAUUUGGGGCCCAAUUUGGGGGUUUGGGGUCAAUUCAGGGUCAGGUUUGGGGAUUUUGGGGCCCCAUUUGGGGUUCAGGGUCCCAUUUUGGGGUUUGGGGUCCAUUUGGGGUCAGGUUUGGGGUCAGAUUUGGGAUUUGGGGCCCAAUUUGGGGAUUCAGGGUCAAUGUGGGGUCAGGUUUUGGGGUUUUGGGCCCCAUUUGGGGUCAGAUUUGGGUUCAGGGUCCCAUUUUGGGGUUUGGGGUCAAUUUGGGGUCAGGUUUGGGGUUUUGGGGCCCCAUUUGGCGUCAGAUUUGGGGUUCAGGGUCCCAUUUUGGGGUUUGGGGUCAAUUUGGGGUCAGGUUUGGGGUCAGAUUUGGGAUUUGGGGCCCAAUUUGGGGGUUUAGGGUCAAUGUGGGGUCAGGUUUGGGGCUUUUGGGGCCCCAUUUGGGGUCAGGUUUGGGGUUCAGGGCCCAAUUUUGGGGUUUGGGGUCAAUUUGGGGUCAGAUUUGGGUUUUGGGGCCCAAUUUUAGGGUCAGAUUUGGGGGGUUGGGGCCCAAUUUGGGGUUUUGGGCCCAAUUUGGGUUUUCAGGCCUUUAUUUGGGGUUUUGGGCCCCAUUUGGGUUUUCAGGCCUUUAUUUGGGGUUUUGGGC
rnacentral:lncRNA from 1 species